GGGUAGUUUAAUACUAGGG
rnacentral:siRNA from 1 species